UCCGGCAUAGCUCAGUUGGUUAGAGCAAUGGACUGUUAAUCCAUGUGUCCCUGGUUCGAGUCCAGGUGCCGGAGCAA
rnacentral:tRNA from 1 species